UACGAAGGGUGCAAGCGUUACUCGGAAUUACUGGGCGUAAAGCGUGCGUAGGUGGUGAGUUAAGUCUGAUGUGAAAUCCCCGGGCUCAACCUGGGAAUGGCAUUGGAUACUGGCUCGCUAGAGUGCGGUAGAGGGUGGUGGAAUUCCCGGUGUAGCAGUGAAAUGCGUAGAUAUGUGGAGGAAUACCGAUGGCGAAGGCAGCCCCCUGGGCUAAGAUUGACGCUCAUGCACGAAAGCGUGGGGAGCAAACAGG
rnacentral:rRNA from 1 species